GACGAACGCUGGCGGCGUGCUUAACACAUGCAAGUCGAACGGAAAGGCCCUGCUUUUGUGGGGUGCUCGAGUGGCGAACGGGUGAGUAACACGUGAGUAACCUGCCCUUGACUUUGGGAUAACUUCAGGAAACUGGGGCUAAUACCGGAUAGGAGCUCCUGCUGCAUGGUGGGGGUUGGAAAGUUUCGGCGGUUGGGGAUGGACUCGCGGCGUAUCAGCGUGUUGGUGGGGUAGUGGCUUACCAAGGCUUUGACGGGUAGCCGGCCUGAGAGGGUGACCGGCCACAUUGGGACUGAGAUACGGCCCAGGCUCCUACGGGAGGCAGCAGUGGGGAAUGUUGCACAAUGGGCGGAAGCCUGAUGCAGCAACGCCGCGUGCGGGAUGACGGCCUUCGGGUUGUAAACCGCUUUCGCCUGUGACGAAGCGUGAGUGACGGUAAUGGGUAAAGAAGCACCGGCUAACUACGUG
rnacentral:rRNA from 1 species